GCGCCUGUAGCCCAGUCUGGAUAGGGCAACAGCCUCCUAAGCUGUGGGUCGGGAGUUCAAAUCUCCCCAGGCGCG
rnacentral:tRNA from 1 species